UGUGUUUAUGAAUUUAUGUAUAUAGCCCAC
rnacentral:piRNA from 1 species